AAAGUUCUGUUUAUCCUAUUAAGUAUGCAAUAACAUUAUGUCUGAAAAUGUAGAUAUCUUAAUUAAAAAUACUUCAUUGCUAAAAAAUUCUAACCAUCAUGAGCCUUCAGUGAAUUGUAAUCUUUUUACAGGUGGAGGGCUUACUUCGAUGU